AUUGAACGCUAGCGGGAUGCUUUACACAUGCAAGUCGAACGAGUGGCGGACGGGUGAGUAAUAUAUCGGAACGUGCCCAGUAGGGGGGGAUAACUUCUCGAACGAGUGGCUAAUACCGCAUUCUCUUUGUGCGGCCUAUAGGGGAUUAGCUAGUUGGUGGGGUAAAGGCUCACCAAGGACACGAUCCGUAGCUGGUUUGAGAGGACGACCAGCCACACUGGGACUGAGACACGGCCCAGACUCCUACGGGAGGCAGCAGUGGGGAAUUUUGGACAAUGGGGGAAACCCUGAUCCAGCCAUCCCGCGUGUAUGAGAAGGCCUUCGGGUUGUAAAGUACUUUUGGUAGGGAAGCGGUAUCUGCAGAAUAAGCACCGGCUAACUACGUGCCAGCAGCCGCGGUAAUUC
rnacentral:rRNA from 1 species